GGGUCUAUGAUCACAAACCAAUGUCAUGAAGAGAGGUGAUAACAUAAAAAUAAUGCUUAAUCGGAUUAUGCUGAGGGCC
ensembl:snoRNA SNORD115 Small nucleolar RNA SNORD115